rnacentral:rRNA from 1 species
GACAGAGGUGGCUAGCGUUGCUCGGAAUCAUUGGGCGUAAAGCGCGUGUAGGCUGCACGUUAAGUCGAGUGUGAAAUCCCUGGGCUCAACCCAGGAAGUGCGCUCGCAACUGGCGCGCUAGAGUACGGGAGAGGGAAGUGGAAUUUCCGGUGUAGCGGUGAAAUGCGUAGAUAUCGGAAGGAACACCAGUGGCGAAGGCGACUUCCUGGCCCGUUACUGACACUGAGGCGCGAAAGCGUGGGGAGCGAAC